AACGCGAAGAACCUUACCAAGGUUUGACAUGGACGGAAAACUGCCAGAGAUGGCAGGUCCUUCGGGUCGUUCACAGGUGGUGCAUGGCUGUCGUCAGCUCGUGUCGUGAGAUGUUGGGUUAAGUCCCGCAACGAGCGCAACCCUCGUCCUAUGUUGCCAGCGGGUUAUGCCGGGAACUCAUGGGAGACUGCCGGGGUCAACUCGGAGGAAGGUGGGGAUGACGUCAAGUCAUCAUGCCCCUUAUGUCUUGGGCUGCAAACAUGCUACAAUGGCCGGUACAAAGGGCUGCGAACUCGCGAGGGUAAGCGAAUCCCAUAAAGCCGGUCUCAGUUCGGAUCGGGGUCUGCAACUCGGCCCCGUGAAGCUGGAGUCGCUAGUAAUCGCGGAUCAGCAACGCCGCGGUGAAUACGUUCCCGGGCCUUGUACACACCGUACGUC
rnacentral:rRNA from 1 species